ACGUAAGAGAUUUUACCUAACUGGAAUCCGAAUCCACGGGACACGCAGUCUAGAGUUCCACUUUUGGUCAGGUGCUAUUCAAAACUUGUCUCCUAAGUAAAUUGUUUUGAAAAAGGCCCAACGAGAGAGAGAGAGAGAAAGAGAUGGAUGAUCCUUUGGCGAACGAUUGCUGUUCGGUGUGCCGUAGCAGCUUCAAUAUUCCUUGUCAAGCCAAUUGCUCUCACUGGUUCUGCGGCAAUUGUAUUAUGGAGGUUUGGCAUCAUGGUUCAGCAAUUCAACCAUGUAAAUGCCCACUGUGUCGUCGUCAAAUUACCUUGUUGGUUCCUGGAGAGGCUUCAUUAAGGCAGCAUCGUGACCCAGAGGUUGCGGAGAUUCUAAGAAAGGUUGAAACAUACAAUCGCCUUUUUGGUGGGCGUUCCAAUGGUCUGAUUCAGAGAAUGCAGGACCUUCCAUUUCUCCUCCGAAGGUUGUUACGGGAACUGAUGGAUCCUCAGAGAUCUCUUCCUCUUGUCAUCAGAGCCCGUGUCUACAUUGCAAUGAUACUAAGUGCUGUCUACGUACUGAGUCCUGUCGACAUUAUUCCAGAAGGAAUACUGGGAAUAGUUGGCCUCUUGGAUGAUCUCCUUAUAGUGCUCAUCUGCUUCCUCCAUGUUGCUGCCAUGUAUCGGUCGGUACUCUAUUUCCGUCAUGGAGGUUCAUGAGCUGUUCUAUGGACAUGACAUAUUCAAAACCGAAGAGGAGAGCAGCAAUGAAGGAAAGGAAAGUUUAUACAAUCCCUGCAGAAAGCAAGAUAUGUUUUUGUCUUCUGAUUUCCUACUUGGUGGCACUCACCAAGUCUAGACAGGAUUAACUUCUUGGAUACACAUGAUUUUAAGCCUAAACCUUUUCUUUUGUACCUUUUACGUAUCACUCUGUUUGUGGCUGCAAAAUAAUGCAAGGCUGCUUCCAUCCAUCUUUUAUCAAACAUGGGAAUGGCAUUGCUAUAGUACCGGCACUCUGAAAAUAUCCAAACAGUGUUAUGGUGGUACAGUGCAGACAAUAAUUUGGUUCUUCUACAAGCAAAAGUACCGGAAAAGUAGGUGACCGAUUCACCAAUAUUUGUUUCCUAACUACUGAUGCUUGUGUUGCCCAAAAAUUAAUUCUACAGUUACUCUUGGUUGCCACUGGCAAGGCACCCUGGUCUUAGAAACAAAGGAAAUGUCUACUUUAAUAAGUUGUUUAUUUUUAGUUUUUAAUUACGCACCAUGUAUCUUGUAGAGUUGUAGUAAAUAUUUUCUAUCCCACUUUCCAGAUUUCACCUUUAA